rnacentral:lncRNA from 1 species
CAGCCCUGAAGCAUGCUCACAGAUGGGAGGAAGACGGGGCCGCUGUGUGCCUGCUUCUGUUAGCAUAGCCAGUGUUUCUCACCCAUCACUACUGAGCAGCAAGGUACCUGACCACCACGGGGUCAUCCUCUUAGUGCCCACAUGCCCUGAACAAAUGCCUGGUGACAACUUCGGAAGCAGAUGCUGAGCCCUGACAUCUCACCCUCCCACUGUGCUCCUAAGUACUCUCUUCUCUGCAUAUAUU